AUUGAACGCUGGCGGCAUGCUUUACACAUGCAAGUCGAACGGCAGCGCGGGCUUCGGCCUGGCGGCGAGUGGCGAACGGGUGAGUAAUGCAUCGGAACGUGCCCAGUAGUGGGGGAUAGCCCGGCGAAAGCCGGAUUAAUACCGCAUACGACCUGAGGGUGUAAGCGGGGGACCGAAAGGCCUUGCGCCCUUGCAGCGGCCGAUGUCGGAUUAGCUAGUUGGUGGGGUAAAGGCUUACCAAGGCGACGAUCCGUAGCUGGUCUGAGAGGACGACCAGCCACACUGGGACUGAGACACGGGCCAGACUCCUACGGGAGGCAGCAGUGGGGAAUUUUGGACAAUGGGGGCAACCCUGAUCCAGCCAUGCCGCGUGGGGGAAGAAGGCCUUCGGGUUGUAAACCGCUUUUGUUCGGGAAGAAAACCUCUGGGCUAAUACCCCGGGGGGAUGACGGUACCGGAAGAAUAAGCACCGGCUAACUACGUG
rnacentral:rRNA from 1 species